rnacentral:rRNA from 1 species
GAUCAUGGCUCAGGAUGAACGCUAGCGGCAGGCUUAACACAUGCAAGUCGAGGGGCAGCAUAAUGGAUAGCAAUAUCUAUGGUGGCGACCGGCGCACGGGUGCGUAACGCGUAUGCAACCUACCUUUAACAGGGGGAUAACACUGAGAAAUUGGUACUAAUACCCCAUAACAUCAUGAAAGGCAUUUUUUAUAGGUUGAAAAUUUCCGAUGGUUAGAGAUGGGCAUGCGUUGUAUUAG